CCUACGGGUGGCAGCAGUGGGGAAUAUUGCACAAUGGGGGAAACCCUGAUCCAGCGACGCCGCGUGAGUGAAGAAUUAUUUCGGUAUGGUAAGCUUCAUCAGCAGGGGAGAAAAUGACGGUACCUGAUUCAGAAGCCCCGGCUAACUACGUGCCAGCAGCCGCGGUAAUAUGGCGGGGGCAAGCGUUAUCCGGAUUUACUGGGCGUAAAGGGGGCGUAGACGGAAGCAAAAGUCUGGAGUGAAAUGCCGGGGCUUAACCCCGGAACUGCAUGGGAAACUGUGCAGCUAGAGUGCAGGAGAGGUAAGUGGAAGUCGUAGUGUAGCGGUGAAAUGCGUAGAUAUUAGGAGGAACACCAGUUGCGAAGGCAGCUUACUGGACUGUAACUGACGUUGAGGCUCGAAAGCGUGGGGAGCAAACAGGAUUAGAUACCCCUGUAGUC
rnacentral:rRNA from 1 species